UUAAUUUUGGGUAUUAUUGCAAUUAAUCUAAAUUUAAUUUUAGAUGCAAAUUUUAAAGCGACAGUUUCGCAGGUAUUAUAAAUGUAAUCCACGAUAACAAAAAAUUAAUUUUUACCAAUAUGCGUUUAGGAAUUUGACCAACUUAAUUGUCCUUGAACGUUACAAAUUUUUCAAACUUAAAUUGAAUCAACCGUGCAUGUCUUUUUUGCAAAUAUUUGCAUGGAGUAAUUAUUAAAUCAAUGUGAUGCCGUUGCACAAUUGAAAUUAAUAUUAGUUAAUGCUUAUAAUGCCUAAUUAUUGCCCCGCUUUGCUUCAUAUGUAUAUUUAAAUAUCGAGUCCUCAUUUUCAACCUCCAAUUUUAUGGUCAUUUUCUUUCUAAGUUUUCUCUUUUGUUCUUUUCUUAUUUGUUUAUGCUUUCUAAUUAGGUUUAUUCGUGUUUAUGCCUUCUUUUAGAGUUUAGGGAUUCUGCUUUGAAUACAAUUGAUAUGUCACUGGAAGAAAAAAGAGAGCAACAAAAGGAUGGAGUUUUGCAUGGCAGCAGUCUUUGUAUUUUUUAAAGGCAUAAUCUUAUUUAAGCGUGAAGUAGAAGAUGGAGGCGCUACAAGCGUGAAGAAGAGGAAGCUAUCAUUUUUCUUUUAACCUGAUUGACUCUUUUAAAUAGAAAUAGGUCAAUUUGGUAGUUAACUUAAUUCAGUUAGUGGGUUUCAAUAUAAAUUAGCGCAAUUUAUUUAAUUCAAUCUAUAUUUGUAUUACUGCAUUCGGCUAAAUUAUUUAAUGCUAAGAAAUUAAGUAGAA